GAUGAACGCUGGCGGCGUGCCUAAUACAUGCAAGUCGAGCGAACAGAUGAGGAGCUUGCUCCUCUGACGUUAGCGGCGGACGGGUGAGUAACACGUGGAUAACCUACCUAUAAGACUGGGAUAACUUCGGGAAACCGGAGCUAAUACCGGAUAAUAUAUUGAACCGCAUGGUUCAAUAGUGAAAGACGGUUUUGCUGUCACUUAUAGAUGGAUCCGCGCCGCAUUAGCUAGUUGGUAAGGUAACGGCUUACCAAGGCAACGAUGCGUAGCCGACCUGAGAGGGUGAUCGGCCACACUGGAACUGAGACACGGUCCAGACUCCUACGGGAGGCAGCAGUAGGGAAUCUUCCGCAAUGGGCGAAAGCCUGACGGAGCAACGCCGCGUGAGUGAUGAAGGUCUUCGGAUCGUAAAACUCUGUUAUUAGGCAAGAACAAAUGUGUAAGUAACUAUGCACGUCUUGACGGUACCUAAUCAGAAAGCCACGGCUAACUACGUG
rnacentral:rRNA from 1 species